rnacentral:lncRNA from 1 species
UGAGGAGGAUGAUUUCGAGAGGGAAAGCAUGUGUAUUGUCAAAUUUGGACUAACUGGAUCCUGGACAGGCUAACCCAAGGGAUGUCACAUGUCCCAAGUGUCUCCCAAGGCUCUACAUGGAUGAAAAUAGGAGAUGUCCUCAAGACAAAUGCUCAGGCCAAGCCAGGCUGAAGGGAUCGGGAGGGACGGUUUCCACUCCCCUGCGUCUCACCCCAAUAAAUGCUUGAGACAUCUCGAUGAAAAAGGUCUCGGCCAGGAGCC